UGAAGUUAUAUAUCAAGAAAUUAUGGCUCAUCAGCAAAGUAAUGUAUCCGAAUAUUAUCAUUUUAUCGUGCUUUGGAUCAUUGCUGCUUUCGGCUAAUUGUAUCAUAUAGUUGAUGGUGGAGAUUGUAUGAUUAAAGGAUGCUAUCAAGAAGUAUUAUGCAUCGAUUGUCAAGACCAAAAAUGAGAGCACACAGCCUGCACGUUGAUGCAACUGUCGAAAUUGUUGAGCUGAGUUCAGGAAGUAUGGUGCUAUCAAGCCUGGCAAGUAGUACACUGUCAGGAAAAAUUGUAACUUGUCCAAUUCUGCAUCGGCCUCCAUAGAAAAUGGUAUGCGAAAGCUGUCAGCAUGAGUAGCUCUGUCAGAGUGUUCCCUUGGAAGAAGCAUUCCUAAUGCAAGAGAAAGAGUCCUAAUGCAAGAGAAAGAAAGUAACUGAGGGAACCUAUCUUGGAGGAUAUAAAUCAUCGAACCAAACGUCCUUCCACAAAGAACUGCGUCACCUGGAUUUUUUGUGCAUGUUGUAA